GCUUAACCAUAUAUACAUUUGAACCAUAACAAAAAGAAGAAAAAACAUAAAGAAGAAAUUUAAAUUGAGAAAAAAUGAAAUCAUUUGUAAUUUGCUUGAUUUUCCUUAGCUUAUGUGGUGGAGGAUCCACAUCAACCAUUACGAAUUCCGCUACGAAUGCCAACCCCGAGGAUGCUGCUCGUCAAUUUUGCAACCUUGGUUGUGCCGCUUCUCUCUGCAGCCAAAUUUCCACCCUGCAAAACCCGAACCUGGAAAAAUCAGAGAGUUGUUAUAAAGGAUGUUAUCAAACUUGCAUGAAGUAGUGAUGCUAACAAAAGGAAUAUGAAGUAUGGUGAGAGGAGAAAAGAACCGUGAUUGACUUUUCAAGAUAAAAAUACCAUAUACGAAUAAGAAAACCAUUGGCUUAAAAGCCUAUUAUUUCAUUUUUAAACACAUUUUUUGUUUUAAUGUAAAUGUAGAUUCAUGCUUUUGAAUGUAGUUGAUCAUGAGCAAUAAAAAACAUCAUUGUUUCUCUCUU